rnacentral:rRNA from 1 species
UACGGAGGGUGCAAGCGUUAUCCGGAUUCACUGGGUUUAAAGGGUGCGUAGGUGGGUUUGUAAGUCAGUGGUGAAAUCUCCGUGCUUAACAUGGAAACUGCCAUUGAUACUAUAGGUCUUGAAUUUUCUGGAGGAUAGCGGAAUAUGUCAUGUAGCGGUGAAAUGCUUAGAUAUGACAUAGAACACCAAUUGCGAAGGCAGCUAUCUACAGGGAUAACUGACGCUGAUGCACGAAAGCGUGGGGAGCAAACAGG